rnacentral:tmRNA from 1 species
GGGCUUGGGUUGGUUUUGACAGCAAGGUAAAUGUUCAGGCAAGCAUGCAGUUAGGGGUAACAACUAACUUUAAUAAAUAGUUACAUAAAAAUUAAUUGGCGAAAAUAAUUACGCUCUUGCUGCGUAACCGAAGGUUUAGUAAGUUACUCUUUAUCCGAUACAAGGUAUUGGAGCAAGACGCUCCGAGAAAACAUAUAUAACCUUUUGUGUUUUCUAACUUUGCGGGGUGCAUCGAUUCAAAGGUUUAGUCAAAGGGAUGUCUUUAAACUUUGAUGAAAUUUUUCAAAGACUAAGAAAAGAAAAAAGUUGUUUGUCGCUUGUUCUUUUUCUACAAUCAAAGACAAAAUAAGCAUGUAGAAAACUUGAGGGUUUCUUGUUUGGACCAGGGUUCGAAUCCCUGCAGGUCCACUA